rnacentral:rRNA from 1 species
GACGAACGCUGGCGGCGUGCCUAAUACAUGCAAGUUGAGCGCUGAAGGUUGGUACUUGUACCAACUGGAUGAGCAGCGAACGGGUGAGUAACGCGUGGGGAAUCUGCCUUUGAGCGGGGGACAACAUUUGGAAACGAAUGCUAAUACCGCAUAAAAACUUUAAACACAAGUUUUAAGUUUGAAAGAUGCAAUUGCAUCACUCAAAGAUGAUCCCGCGUUGUAUUAGCUAGUUGGUGAGGUAAAGGCUCACUAAGGCGAUGAUACAUAGCCGACCUGAGAGGGUGAUCGGCCACAUUGGGACUGAGACACGGCCCAAACUCCUACGGGAGGCAGCAGUAGGGAAUCUUCGGCAAUGGACGAAAGUCUGACCGAGCAACGCCGCGUGAGUGAAGAAGGUUUUCGGAUCGUAAAACUCUGUUGGUAGAGAAGAACGUUAGUGAGAGUGGAAAGCUCAUCAAGUGACGGUAACUACCCAGAAAGGGACGGCUAACUACGUG